AUCACAUGAUAUAAUUUUAAUAAAAUGGCCUCUAAAAGAUAAGUAGAAUUUGUAGGAGCUUCAUGAGUUGUUACAGGAUUUGAGGUUCAAAGAGAAGUAAAGGAGGAACAAAAAUGAGCAUCACAAAGUCUGUUAUUGAUGAUUAGGAUAGUUUUUUGUGCCUGCUGACAGGAUUUAGUGGCAAACAAAGUGUCAAUCACUACUGUGGCUCUGUACUGCAUUAUGUCUUCUUGAAAAUAAGUUCUGGAACAAAAAAACUCUUCCAUGGUCCUCUGGUCAAUGACUAAAGCUAGUGAGCUUACCUAUUGAUGAGCAAUGAGUUAAGAAAUGUGCUAUAGGGGUACAUACUUUUAUGGAAGAUGAAGAAAUACUUCUACCUCAUCUGCAAAUGAUGUCUCUAACAGCCAUGGCCUUUGUAGCAUUCUUAUUACUAUCAUUAUAUUAUUAUACAAUUUUAGUCAAUUUUGCAUUAUUAAACAUGCUGUUUUGAUCUGAUAGCAAAA